rnacentral:rRNA from 1 species
GAUGAACGCUGGCGGCGUGCCUAAUACAUGCAAGUCGAGCGAACAGACGAGGAGCUUGCUCCUCUGACGUUAGCGGCGGACGGGUGAGUAACACGUGGAUAACCUACCUAUAAGACUGGGAUAACUUCGGGAAACCGGAGCUAAUACCGGAUAAUAUAUUGAACCGCAUGGUUCAAUAGUGAAAGACGGUUUUGCUGUCACUUAUAGAUGGAUCCGCGCCGCAUCAGCUAGUUGGUAAGGUAACGGCUUACCAAGGCAACGAUGCGUAGCCGACCUGAGAGGGUGAUCGGCCACACUGGAACUGAGACACGGUCCAGACUCCUACGGGAGGCAGCAGUAGGGAAUCUUCCGCAAUGGGCGAAAGCCUGACGGAGCAACGCCGCGUGAGUGAUGAAGGUCUUCGGAUCGUAAAACUCUGUUAUUAGGGAAGAACAAAUGUGUAAGUAACUAUGCACGUCUUGACGGUACCUAAUCAGAAAGCCACGGCUAACUACG